CACCAUCACAAAUUCACAAGAUAAUCACAAUCUUUGCAUGCACUGCAUGAGCACGAGCCAUAGCUUGUAUGAUUAUCAAAAAUUAUAUAUCCAAGUACUGUAUACAUCCAUUUGUUUGAUAAAAUAUCAACUUUUUAACUGAACAAAUUUCAAUUUUAAAAAUACAUUUUAUGAAAUUCACAAAUUUUAUCUCUUCAAUCAUGCAUUUUAUAACGAGCUGGGCUUAGGCACAUAGGCUCAAAAAUGCUAGUCUUUUUGUAAUAAUCUAACUUGUACUUCAAAUUGUUAUAUUAUACAUGCUAUUCAUCCUGGUAGAUCAUCUUCCCUUUUAUCCCUCAUGGAUUAAAUCUAACAUGAUUGUCAAAUUGUUAAAUCAUAAUGUAAAACGAUGACGUUCAAAGCAAUUAAUGCUUGAACCUCAUUUUCCCGAAUUAAGUAUUCAAACUAAAAUUUUUUCAGUAUCUUGAUAGACUUUCCUAGUUAGAAAAAUACAUUUUACUACUAAUCUUACACAGAAUAUGUGAGAAAAUAAGCACAUAAGAUAAAAUCACGGAUAAACAUUGUAAAACUCAACAUUUCAUUAUUCAUGAUCUCAACUCCAUUUCUAAACGUUUAUAUCGUUUUUAGUAAAUGCCCUUUUUUUUUCUUUUCUUCCUACAGGAAAUCCAGAACAAAAAAAAUAUCAUUAUUAACCAUAGAAGGUAAUUUUUCUUAAUUUUCCAUAAUAAAUAUGAAAUUUAGCGAAUAAAAAUCAUUGUAAUCGAAAGAUCAACAAAAGAAAUUUUGCAAAAUAACAAUAAAAAAAAAUUGAAAUAUAAGAAUAAAAGACUAAGUCAACAAAUUGUACCUAGUAGUAAAGUCAACCUCUUUCUCCCGUUCGUCGAACCACUGCUAAACUGAACACGUUAAGAGCAAUGUGAGUCAUCUUGGGUAGGCAAAAGCAAUAUUUAUAGGCGUGAAAGCUUACCUGAACCUACCAUUGAUUGCCUAGCUAAAAAAAGCCCCAAUUUAAGGGAUUGUUUCGGAGCUCACACUCAAGUACUUUUGAAUGAUUUGAGUUUUUAUUUCCCUUUUAAUCGUCAUUUCAUUUAACGAAUAGUAAAUAGUAAUCAUUUGUUGUAUAGCAGAAAAAUAAAUCCUGAAUAUAGUAAAUAAUUAUUUAUUUUAUCGUGAAUGUAUAUGUAGUUUUUCUAAUAAUCUAAAAGCAUACAUAUUUCCAAAUUUCCAACGGUUUUUCCAACCUCUCCCAAACAAACCCUAACACUUUUCAAAUUGAUCAUUGUACAUUACAUUGUGAUUGUUGUACAAUAACCAUUUCUAUGGGCAGCCGAGAAGGGACAAGCACAAGUGUGGGUUUUGUAAUGGAGGGACAGAGCGGGUACCAUUUAAAAUUGAAUAAUGCUAUUUAUAGUCGCUAACUGUCGAUAGUCGUCUUACGUGAUAGUUUGUUAUUUGAGUCAUUUAAGACGAUUAUCGAUAUAGAGCGACUACGAAUAGUAUUAUUCUUUAAAAUUAUCUUAAUUGUCUUUUUGUGGGAAGAGGUAAUCUGCGGUUGAGAAAUAGGUGAGGAUGAUCAAAGGGACGGAUAUUAAGACACAAAAUGUUGAUGGUGUGUCUGUGCAGUCUAAAGGGACACGUAAAUCUGCAUGAAUCACAUGGCAAUAUUAUAUAAUAUUAAACAUCGUAUUGUACGUGUUUGAUAGACCCACUCAUUCACAUGCGACAGCGUACGCCCCACGUGAUUUGAUGGAAAAAAACGGAAAUCUGGUUCAAUUAAUGGUGCCCAAACAAAAGCAAUUAUUUUCUUCAAGUUCUCUUUUAUAGUAAGCACUUACUAGAUAAAUUGGAAUUAAUCUAUUUGUAUAUUCUUGGUGUAAAUCUUGGAUGACAAGAGGUGUAAAAAUUGAGGUCAUUGAUUGGUUCAAGUGUUGGACAGAUCAAUGAUAAAACUUAAAACAAUCAAUGACAAAAUUGUG
rnacentral:lncRNA from 1 species